GGCUCCUCUGUCGUAACCUUUUGUCCCUGUUGGAGGUAAUUUUACAUCGAUGUUACAGCGCCCACGCCUCUGAAUGUCACACGUCGUGGGAUGGAUGGAGUAGAAAAAAAAAGUGGUCCAGGGAUUACAAGCCAGCCACAUCCCAGUUUUAUUCUGGUUAGAUAAUGAGAGCGGUUCCAGCGGCGGCGACUGGGCUCGACUGUGUGAUGGUCAACGCCUCAACGGGGCAGCCGGGAUGGCGUGGUGAGCGGCGGCUGGCCUCGGUCGCUGUGGUGGAUGAUCGGAAGCAUAGUUUGCGGAGGCGGCGCUAUUGUGGCAGUGGCGGUCACCUCAGAUCCUCCAUGGCUGGCGCGACUCCCGUGACUUCCUCUCCCUCGGCUCGCCACCACGCCAUGAGCGCAAGGACUGACAUGGGAUUGAUUCGGGGGCGUGAGAAACUGCUGCAUUGGCCUCGCGGUUCGGCCGUGUACGGUCUGGCGGCAGACGACAGCGUCGUAGCGGUAUGACGCCGGGCGGCCGGGGGACCAUUUGGAGCUGAAGCGGUGGGUUAGAGGAGUGCCAGAUUGGAUAGGAUACAUGGCCUUCAUUUUUGCAACAUGGAUUUGUUAGUGUUCGUAACUUUCCCAAUUUUCUGAUGUUGAUUUCCGAGAUCUGGAGAGUUUGAUCUAAACUAAAGAAUUAUUUACCUGGCCCAAUAAAUUCCCCGAUGCAGGGUGUAGCUCUGUUACAGACUACCAGCUCAUACCUUAAAUACAAGUAUGUUGAUCAAAUCCUGUUUUUACUUUAUCCGCCUCAUUCUUUGUUUGGGCACCUCUCUAUAUAGAUUCAUCUAUGUGUUUGAUUGUUGUAUUCACAGAAACAAUUGUGUACGAGAGAUUAAUUUAUGCGUCGUUUGAAAUUCAAUUUUAGGGCUAGUAAGAAAAGGCAUUUUUUUAGUACUUAUCAGUGCGAGUAGUUGUUUUGUUUUUCUUUUCUUAGUAAGUUUAUACAAAA